GGGAGGCAGCAGUGGGGAAUUUUGCGCAAUGGGGGAAACCCUGACGCAGCAACGCCGCGUGAGUGAUGAAGGCCUUCGGGUCGUAAAGCUCUGUCUAGAGGAAAGAAGUGUAAGGCGGUUAAUACCCGUUUUACUUGACGGUACCUCUGAAGGAAGCACCGGCUAACUCCGUGCCAGCAGCCGCGGUAAUACGGAGGGUGCGAGCGUUGUUCGGAUUUAUUGGGCGUAAAGCGCGUGUAGGCGGUUUCGUAAGUCUGAUGUGAAAGCCCCGGGCCUAACCUGGGAAGUGCAUUGGAAACUGCGAGACUUGAGUACGGGAGAGGGUAGUGGAAUUCCUAGUGUAGGAGUGAAAUCCGUAGAUAUUAGGAGGAACACCGGUGGCGAAGGCGGCUGCCUGGACCGAUACUGACGCUGAGACGCGAAAGCGUGGGGAGCAAACAGGGUUAGAUACCCUUGUAGUCGC
rnacentral:rRNA from 1 species